ensembl:lncRNA
AGGUUUCAUUUAAGAACAGAAGGAUCUAACAUCCCCGAGUUUGAAGACAAGCUGCUUCCAAAAUACAAUAGAAGUAGAUCAGAAAGCAAAUGGGAACUCUGCUUUCUUUAUGAACUGAUGAGGAAAGACUUGAAGAGAAAAAGAGGAGGCAGCACAUCUUAGGAUUUGAAUCAGACAACUGCAACAGCAAGUCUGACCGAAGUGUGAGAAGAUUUGCUAAAUGGAGAACUUCUAUGUAGAGGCAUAACUUAGCUAUGAAAGUGUAAACAUUUGGAUGUGUGGAUCAUCAUUGCAGUGUGAUUGUCUGAUACAGUUAGGUCUCAGACAAGAUCACUAGUCCUGGUAGAAUGCAAAUGACUGUUAAUAACAGCAAUCUUAAAACGUUGCACAAACAGUAGAAGUAUGUUUUGCAGCUUGUUAUGAGACUCAGUGAAAAUUACUCGUUUUACUAGUUAUUAAAUCAACAGACAGCUAACUGCCUUGCCUGAGAUACAGGAAGACUUGGAUUAUGUGGAGGAACUAACCAGCAGCUGGACCUCCAGACUCCUGAGUUUGUGCAACUCCAGAUACUCCCUCCAGCCACUUCAACCCAAAAACUGUGAUAUUGGAAGGUGUAACCCAUCUGAAGAAUGGAGAGUGCAAUCAUUGCUGUGGAUGUGAUUUGGUUUGUUGUUUUUUUCAUCUUCAG